CCCUUCUCAUUCUCCUCUGCUGCCGACUUGAAUGAAAAGGAGAAGGAACAGAGAGAGCUUGAAAGGGCGAGAGGAAGACGAAUCAUCACGAACUGUCGGAGAAAGAAUCAGAGGUGUUUUCUUGCAUGCAAGUGUGCUUUUCUGAUUAAGCAAGAGCAAGUACUCCUAAGGGCAAGGGAGUAGUGAUCGGUGGAGUUUAAAAGUGCAAGAAGCUGGCGAUCAUUUGUACAUAUAUAUUUUGUUUAAAAUGCAUCUUAUUUUGGAGUAAAGAUAUAUAUUGUAUAUCUAUUUUGGUAUGUAAAUAUUCCUCCAUAAGGAGAUGACUAAGGGCAGAUAGAUCAUAAUGACUGCUAUUGAAGGAAAUGGUCAAAUUUUUUGAUAUAAUUAUUAUUUGGCCUAAAA